ACGCUCGACACCUACGGAGGCAGCAGUGGGGAAUAUUGCACAAUGGGGGAAACCCUGAUGCAGCGACGCCGCGUGAGUGAAGAAGUAUUUCGGUAUGUAAAGCUCUAUCAGCAGGGAAGAAAAUGACGGUACCUGAGUAAGAAGCCCCGGCUAACUACGUGCCGNAGCCGCGGUAAUCUGAGCGGGCUGGCAAGGC
rnacentral:rRNA from 1 species